CUGUGACGAAUCACUCUCGCUGCCCAACUUUUCCCCAAAAAAGUAGAUUUGAUACGUAGCCUUACCUAGAUGUCUUCUGGCUUUUCUGCAGAUCAAAAAGUUUCCUGCCCAAGCACACAGAUAUUCUUUCACAAACCAUAAAGACCCUUUUAUGAAUCCAGCACUGUAACAGGCUGCUUUCCACACCACGUCGAGAGCCCAGUGCGUCAGCUCUCAAGAUAAAAUACAUUGCUAAUACACAAUUAGUGGGAGAGGUUGUCUACUGGAGAAUUUAUCUUAACGAAAGAAGGAAAAAGAAGCUUUUUUUUUUUUUUUUUUUGGAAAAAGCAGAGAGGGUGCGGUCAGAUGUUAGGUUUUGCCUGAGAAAAGGGCCUUCCACUGCACUAGUACCUAAAUACUAGCAGAAGCUGCCUGGGAAGAGAGCCAAUGGAAGGACUUUGUUUGACCCAGCUGCCAAUCUCCCCUGAAGCCGUGCGCCAGACUAAACACUCACACUAUUUUAACUCAAAUCAGGCUACAGCAGCUGUUUGCUUUCCGGCUCUGAGCUCUGCACCCACGAUGGCCUGUGCCGUUUACCCAGCGAGCUCUGCUAGCUGCCUGGCUGGAAUCUGUUCCGGGUUGGGAGUUGUCAUUGGAGAGCACGUUUUAACCCUCUUCCUCGUGGUAAAUGUGGACCGUUUGUUGUUCGGCAUUUGGAUCGGCCUUUGUGUGCAUCAGGAACAAGGCCCCUACCACGCACCUCUAAGAACAAAGAUGGUACCUAUUCACCCCGACCCAGACUUCUUCGACCCUAGCAAGAUGGAAAGUUGGCAUCAGAGGAGCGGAGAGACUCACGUCAUUCUAAGAGUCAGUACUGACUGCUUAAUGCUCCCGCGAGUUCCUCCAGAAGCAACACCCAAGCACGUGUUGGAUUUUGUCCAAGAGAGCAUGUAAUUUAUGAAGGAAGUGUACGUCAUUCACAUUUUCCAGAAAAGAGGACAAAAAACAGGAAAAAAAUGUGUAGAGCCCCAUGAUAAUAAGUGAGCAGAUCUAAUAAAAAGUCUGCAGGUGCAGAUAUUUUCUGAGAAAACCCCAAUUUUUAGCAUUCUAUAUCAAGUUCCUAUGAAUGUGCCUCCUAUAAUUAUGCUUCAAAAAUAACCAAUGGAGAAUGAUGUUAAAUAAAGAGCAACAGUAAUAACUACAGUGCAUUGAGCACUAGCCCAGCCCUAGUGGUCUAGUGGUUAAGAUUCAGUGUUCUCACCAUUGUAACCC
rnacentral:lncRNA from 1 species